UACGGAGGGUGCGAGCGUUGUCCGGAAUCAUUGGGCGUAAAGGGCGCGUAGGUGGCCACUUCAAGCGUGCGGUGAAAGUCGGGGGCUCAACCCCUGAUCGGCCGUGCGAACUGGGGGGCUGGAGCACUGUAGAGGCAGGCGGAAUUCCGGGUGUGAGCGGUGGAAUGCGUAGAGAGUCCGGAAGAACACCGGUGGCGAAGGCGGCCUGCUGGGCAGUAGCUGACACUGAGGCGCGACAGCGUGGGGAGCAAACAGG
rnacentral:rRNA from 1 species